rnacentral:rRNA from 1 species
CGGCGGACGGGUGGGUAACACGUAGAUAACCUACCUAUAAGACUGGGAUAACUUCGGGAAACCGGAGCUAAUACCGGAUAAUAUAUUGAACCGCAUGGUUCAAUAGUGAAAGACGGUUUUGCUGUCACUUAUAGAUGGAUCCGCGCCGCAUUAGCUAGUUGGUAAGGUAACGGCUUACCAAGGCAACGAUGCGUAGCCGACCUGAGAGGGUGAUCGGCCACACUGGAACUGAGACACGGUCCAG